AACACUGUAUUGACAUCUAGCAAAGUCAUAUCUUUUUGGCAGAGUUUAUACAACAGAUCAGAUCUUGUAAGUACAUGUCCCACUUAGGAUAAUGUACAACAUUUAUCUUGGACUGACCAAAAGAUAAUGCUGUUUAAUGUGCAUCUCUUUGUUUAUGGAAUACAGAAUGUAGAAGGGUCAUUCCCUACCAACUCACCUAAGGGUCACCAGGUCACCCCCUCAGAUUCUGCUAAGAAAAUUCCUAAGUAUAGGUCUAUAAGAUAUUACUCACCAUGCAAAAGCUUAGCUUUCAAUUCCUCUUAGUUUAGGUAAUAGAGGCCUUUGAAAUUUCAUGUUGAAGAUGCUGUAUGUGAAAAUUUACCUUUUCCCACCAACUUCAGGGGCUUAUAAUUUUAUAAUGGAACCACCUAGGAAGAUCAUACUGCACAGGUUUACUAAAUGGUGUCCAUAUUUUUCUUUUUAACUUUUUCUUUUUUUGUUGUUGCAUCAAAUAGCCUCUGGGAUUAAUACUUUUUUGCACUGUAUGAGGCUAAAAAUGGCUUUUUGGCCAAAAUGGGAACAAUAUGGUGAAACUGUAGGAGCUUUUCUGAAAAUAUCAAACUUGGAACUUUCUCAUCACAACUCAGCAAUUAUAGAGAUUAUGUAUUCACAGGUACAGAGGUUGCCAGGGUAACACAGUUUGGUAAUGAAUUCUUAAAAAAUUUUAAAAGUAGUCCCACGCUUAAAGUGCUCUGAAACGGGCCAUUUUUGUCUUCUGAUUUGGCCAUGUGGCUAUGCGCUUGGAAUCUUUAUAUUUUUUCUGAAGAUUGGUUAAUAUAAGAUCAUUCAACUGACCAAAGGACUUUAUCUAAUGCUCAUACCUUCAUAUUUAGAAAAAUGUUUUAUUCACAUGAAUGGUUUGUAAAUAUUCACUUUCUUCAUAGUCAGGGAAAAUUUAAACCAAACUGUAUAGGAAAGUGAUACUGCAGAAUUUUAUAAAACAGCAUACAAAAUUUUAAUUUCUGGUAUCAGAAUACCCCUAGAUUCUGCAGUACCACUUUCUUAUACAGCUUGCAUGGUGAAUAAUAUCAUACACCUACCAGAGGCAGAGUUCUGCACAAUGAUUGGACGAUCUGUCGAAAGGCUGAAUCCCAUUUUGAAUGACAGUUAUAGGAAUGUGAGAAUUAGUUUGCACAUUUUUGUGUACGUAUUUAUGCAUUUUUAAAUUUAUGCCAAAGUGGUAUGCUUUCAGAUUUCCAUUUGUUGGGCACACAUAAGGACUUUGUUUUUUUAGUCAGCAUUCUGUCAUUAAAAAUUGUAUUUGGUUAAAUUUAACUCAAUAAGAGUGAAAUAGAUGGUUUGCUGUGAACAGUUGGCUUAAAAAGAGGGUGGUGGGAGAGAAAACCUUUCCUGACAUGUAUUUUCUGACCCAUUUUCAGGCCUGAUGGUGAAAAGAAGGCAUAUGUUCGUCUUGCACCAGAUUACGAUGCCUUGGACGUUGCAAACAAGAUUGGCAUUAUCUGAAGUGGGUGUGAAAAGACUUGUAGAAAAAUAAAUAUUUGUACAAACAAA